UUGACAGCAGCGGCAAUCAAAUUAGUCUGUCCACAGCAUACGUACAGGAUGCGCACUGGCAGUGCAAGCUCCACACAGUGUCCCACUAAUGUACUUUUAACCCUGUCCUGGAAGGAUCACCUCUAGGGUGAGAGGGUAAUUCAGUUCCUAUGUCCACUUAAUAAUUUAACCACC
rnacentral:sRNA from 1 species